UAGGGAAUCUUCCGCAAUGGGCGAAAGCUUGACGGAGCAACGCCGCGUGAGUGAUGAAGGUCUUCGGAUCGUAAAACUCUGUUAUUAGGGAAGAACAAAUGUGUAAGUAACUAUGUACGUCUUGACGGUACCUAAUCAGAAAGCCACGGCUAACUACGUGCCAGCAGCCGCGGUAAUACGUAGGUGGCAAGCGUUAUCCGGAAUUAUUGGGCGUAAAGCGCGCGUAGGCGGUUUUUUAAGUCUGAUGUGAAAGCCCACGGCUCAACCGUGGAGGGUCAUUGGAAACUGGAAAACUUGAGUGCAGAAGAGGAAAGUGGAAUUCCAUGUGUAGGGGUGAAAUGCGCAGAGAUAUGGAGGAACACCAGUGGCGAAGGCGACUUUCUGGUCUGUAACUGACGCUGAUGUGCGAAAGCGUGGGGAUCAAACAGG
rnacentral:rRNA from 1 species